AGGUAAUGGUUUUACAGUUGUAGCAACUUGUUUGUUAUUGCACGUUGUUUUGUUUUGCUUUAACAUUUUGAUUUACCGCCAUAUAUAAACAAGGCAACAGGUGAAAAAGGGCACAUCUGUCAUGGUCGGGUGCUUUUGGCGACGGGCAAUCGUUGGGAACUAGCGCUUUAGGCGCGCUGUGUACGUUGCGAUUUCCUGUUGUAGUGGGUGGUAGCUGGUGUGUAUGUAUGACACUUUGGCAUGGGAAUUUACUUCGCAAAUGAUUACUACGCUUAGAUACAAGUACAUACAUACAUCUAUCUAUCAACAUAAUUCUUCCAUCACCAUUUUCGCCGCUGUUGGAGGUUAGAAACAAUGCAUGAAACAAAUUUUCAAUUCCACUUUCACUGCUGACGUGAUACAUCACGAAGAUGGCGCCACAUGCUAUUGCAGCGUGAGGAGCAUGCAUAAUGGAAAUUAGAAGUGGAAAGGAAAUCCGCUGCGGUUAGAUUACGUAAUAAUGUUGCAUUUUUUAUUAGCGCAUUCAAUAGCAUUCAUAAUUGCAUAUUUGUAUACCACAACCGAAGUACUUAUAUUAUAUUAUAUACAUAUGUAUCUUCGUAUAAGGAAUAGUUAGGCAAGGAUAUGUGUGUACCAGAGAAAUGCCGGAAUAAGUAAAAGAAAUAUGCAUUCACCAUUGAAGAAGUCAAAUAAAUAAAUAAAGGCCUAAUGGUGAUUAAAAGAAAAAA